CCGGCCGCCGGCCAUAUAAUCCCAAUACUCGACCUAACCCACUACCUACUCAGCCGUGGCCUCACCGUGACCCUCCUCCUCAUCCUCCAAAGUCCACCCCCAGUCGACAGCAUGGUCCACCGCCGUCGCCGGAGCCCACGUCCUGGUAUAUCCAUACCCGGCCGCCGGCCAUAUAAUCCCAAUACUCGACCUAACCCACCACCUACUCAGCCGCGGCCUCACCGUGACCCUACUCCUCACUCCAUCCAACCUCAACCUCCUUCAUAGCUUCCGCCUCUCCCACCCAACCACCACCCAGCUCAACGAGCUCAUCCUCCCAGCUCCGGAUCCUUCGCCGUCGGGACCGACCCGACCCAUCGGACCUAUAGUCAACAUGA
rnacentral:lncRNA from 1 species